UACAGAGGUCUCAAGCGUUGUUCGGAUUCAUUGGGCGUAAAGGGUGUGUAGGUGGCGCGCUAAGUCGGGUGUGAAAUUUCGGAGCUUAACUCCGAAACUGCAUUCGAUACUGGCGUGCUUGAGGACUGGAGAGGAGACUGGAAUUCAUGGUGUAGCAGUGAAAUGCGUAGAGAUCAUGAGGAAGACCAGUGGCGAAGGCGGGUCUCUGGGCUAUAACUGACGCUCAUGCACGAAAGCGUGGGGAGCAAACAGG
rnacentral:rRNA from 1 species